UUAAGUUCAGCGGGUAGUCCUACCUGAUUUGAGGUCAAAUUCGUCAACAGUUCAAAAGAGAGUUGGAAGCAGUUCAUGUGGCACAAUGCAAGGGCAUAGAUAAUUUAUCACACCUAUAGCAAUAAGCCUCAAGAUCACCGCUGAUAUGUUUCAGGGGAGCCGACCUUUCCUGCGAAAAGCCUGCAAACAAAAAAAUCCCC
rnacentral:misc_RNA from 1 species